ACGGGUUCAGAGCGGCCAUCGAUCAGCUCACCUUCAUCUGAGACUGCACACCGCCCACAGGAAUCACCUCAGCCCGCACUUCCUGGUUCCCCCACCUGCCGGUGUAACCCUUUCAGCCAGGGGGUGGGCCGCCUGCUAAGCAGCUGUCCCAGGUUGCAGAAACAGUGUUUAAUGUCCUGGGACAGUCAGAAGUUAGUAUCACCGGGCUGAGGGAAGGCAUUGACUCUUCAGUGAUGCAGCUCAAUGAAAUGCAACAAAGCAUGGAGCCAUCAGAAGAACCGGGGCCAGGUGUACGACCCUCAGCCUGAAACAUCACAGUUCAGCCUGC